rnacentral:rRNA from 1 species
AGAGUUUGAUCAUGGCUCAGAUUGAACGCUGGCGGCAGGCCUAACGCAUGCAAGUCGAGCGCGAAAGUCCUUCGGGGCGAGUAGAGCGGCGGACGGGUGAGUAACGCGUAGGAAUCUACCUGGUAGUGGGGGACAACUUGUGGAAACGCAAGCUAAUACCGCAUACGCCCUAUGGGGGAAAGUGGGGGACCUUCGGGCCUCACGCUAUCGGAUGAGCCUGCGUAGGAUUAGCUAGUUGGUGAGGUAAAAGCUCACCAAGGCGACGAUCCUUAGCUGGUCUGAGAGGAUGAUCAGCCACACUGGGACUGAGACACGGCCCAGACUCCUACGGGAGGCAGCAGUGGGGAAUAUUGCGCAAUGGGGGCAACCCUGACGCAGCCAUGCCGCGUGUGUGAAGAAGGCCUUAGGGUUGUAAAGCACUUUCAAUUGGGAAGAAAAGUUGGUCGUUAAUAGCGGCCAGCCCUGACAUUACCUUUAGAAGAAGCACCGGCUAACUCCGUGCCAGCAGCCGCGGUAAUACGGAGGGUGCGAGCGUUAAUCGGAAUUACUGGGCGUAAAGCGCGCGUAGGCGGUUUGUUAAGUCAGCUGUGAAAGCCCUGGGCUCAACCUGGAAACUGCAGUUGAUACUGACCGACUAGAGUAUGAAAGAGGGAGGUAGAAUUCCAUGUGUAGCGGUGAAAUGCGUAGAUAUAUGGAGGAAUACCAGUGGCGAAGGCGGCCUCCUGGUUCAAUACUGACGCUGAGGUGCGAAAGCGUGGGGAUCAAACAGGAUUAGAUACCCUGGUAGUCCACGCCGUAAACGAUGUCUACUAGCCGUUGGGAGACUUGAUUUCUUAGUGGCGCAGCUAACGCAAUAAGUAGACCGCCUGGGGAGUACGGCCGCAAGGUUAAAACUCAAAUGAAUUGACGGGGGCCCGCACAAGCGGUGGAGCAUGUGGUUUAAUUCGAUGCAACGCGAAGAACCUUACCAGGUCUUGACAUCCUGAAAACUUUCUAGAGAUAGAUUGGUGCCUUCGGGAAUUCAGUGACAGGUGCUGCAUGGCUGUCGUCAGCUCGUGUCGUGAGAUGUUGGGUUAAGUCCCGUAACGAGCGCAACCCUUGUCCUUAGUUGCCAGCACAUAAUGGUGGGAACUCUAAGGAGACUGCCGGUGACAAACCGGAGGAAGGUGGGGACGACGUCAAGUCAUCAUGGCCCUUACGACCUGGGCUACACACGUGCCACAAUGGCAAGUACAGAGGGCUGCAAGAGCGCAAGCUGGAGCGAAUCCCACAAAACUUGUCGUAGUCCGGAUUGGAGUCUGCAGCUCGACUCCAUGAGGUCGGAAUCGCUAGUAAUCGUGAAUCAGAAUGUCACGGUGAAUACGUUCCCGGGCCUUGUACACACCGCCCGUCACACCAUGGGAGUGGGUUGCAAAAGAAGUGGGUAGACUAACCUUCGGGAGGUCGCUCACCACUUUGUGAUUCAUGACUGGGGUGAAGUCGUAACAAGGUA